AGUGAACGCUGGCGGUAGGCCUAACACAUGCAAGUCGAACGGCAGCACAGUAAGAGCUUGCUCUUACGGGUGGCGAGUGGCGGACGGGUGAGGAAUACAUCGGAAUCUACCUUUUCGUGGGGGAUAACGUAGGGAAACUUACGCUAAUACCGCAUACGACCUACGGGUGAAAGCAGGGGAUCUUCGGACCUUGCGUGAUUGAAUGAGCCGAUGUCGGAUUAGCUAGUUGGCGGGGUAAAGGCCCACCAAGGCGACGAUCCGUAGCUGGUCUGAGAGGAUGAUCAGCCACACUGGAACUGAGACACGGUCCAGACUCCUACGGGAGGCAGCAGUGGGGAAUAUUGGACAAUGGGCGCAAGCCUGAUCCAGCCAUACCGCGUGGGUGAAGAAGGCCUUCGGGUUGUAAAGCCCUUUUGUUGGGAAAGAAAAGCAGCAGGUUAAUACCCCGCUGUUCUGACGGUACCCAAAGAAUAAGCACCGGCUAACUUCGUG
rnacentral:rRNA from 1 species